rnacentral:lncRNA from 1 species
CGCAAUCGCUGCACCUUCCAGCGAGCACUCCAGUGCCCGCACCAUUCCCAACGAGUUUAAACUCUUCCCAGCGACCUGUUCAGGCCGCUCACUUGCUCCAACGAGCUGCCCAGCGACCAAGGACCAAGUUCAACUCACCCAGCACCUUGCCAGCGCGCUCGCCAACUCGCUCAACAUUCCAGCCGGCUGCGUAGCUCGCUCAACGCAUCGCUGAAACCUAGCGCCCGAUCGCUCUAAUUCCAUCCAUCUCCCCAGCGCCUCGCUCGAGCACCCCAGCGCCCGCUGGGGUCUCGCUCGCCCAGCUCGCUCAAUUUCAUGUGCACACCUCCAGCGCUCGCUCACCAGGACGCUCACUUAUACCCAGCAGCUGUUGGGUGUGUUUUCCAACGCGAAGAGUAUAAAUUGUUGUUUUCUCAUUUCCCUAGCUAGGGUACACUUUCUCAGAGGCAGUUCUAGCCAUCGUUCCAGACACCAGUUUUCCUAGUUAGGGUUUAUUUGCAUUGAUUUUUCAGUAUAAUUUCAUAAGGUGAUUACUGAAUAAGUAGAAUUUAAGCUUUUGUUUUACUUUCAUUCUGUAACACACACAUUAGAUGAGAGAGAUAAAAAAGAAGAAAAGCAAGAAAGUUACAACAGCAAGAAAAGAGAGUUCUUGGGGAGUGUUGUAGUUGAGAGUUCUUGAGUGAUUUCUCUUUGCAUCUGGAACUUCUCCAUCAUCAAUAAACAGUUUGAUUCACCCUCUGUGGAUGUAGAUUCAUUUAUGAAUUAAACCACGUAAUUCUUCUGUGUUC